UACGAAGGUGGCAAGCGUUGUUCGGAUUUACUGGGCGUACAGGGAGCGUAGGCGGUUGGAUAAGCCCUCCGUGAAAUCUCCAGGCUUAACCUGGAAAGUGCAGAGGGGACUGUUCAGCUAGAGGAUGGGAGAGGAGCGCGGAAUUCCCGGUGUAGCGGUGAAAUGCGUAGAGAUCGGGAGGAAGGCCGGUGGCGAAGGCGGCGACCUGGGUAGAUACUGACGCUGAUGAGCGAAAGCCAGGGGAGCAAACGGG
rnacentral:rRNA from 1 species